rnacentral:rRNA from 1 species
CAAUAGCGUAUAUUAAAGUUGUUGCAGUUAAAAAGCUCGUAGUUGGAUUUGUGGCGUACGGUGUGUUCCGGGCACUUGUUGUCUGAGUAACCUGCUGUUGCCAUCCUUGGGUGGAACCUGUGUGGCAUUAGGUUGUCGUGCAGGGGAUGCCCAUCAUUUACUGUGAAAAAAUUAGAGUGUUCAAAGCAGGCUUAUGCCGUUGAAUAUAUUAGCAUGGAAUAAUGAGAUAGGACUUUUUUGCUAUUUUGUUGGUUUGCGCAAAGAGGUAAUGAUUAGUAGGGACAGUUGGGGGUAUUCGUAUUCCAUUGUCAGAGGUGAAAUUCUUGGAUUUUUGGAAGACGAACUACUGCGAAAGCAUUUACCAAGGAUGUUUUCAUUAA